rnacentral:rRNA from 1 species
AGUCGAGCGGGAGAGAGAAGCUUGCUUCUCUUGAGAGCGGCGGACGGGUGAGUAAUGCCUAGGAAUCUGCCUGGUAGUGGGGGAUAACGCUCGGAAACGGACGCUAAUACCGCAUACGUCCUACGGGAGAAAGCAGGGGACCUUCGGGCCUUGCGCUAUCAGAUGAGCCUAGGUCGGAUUAGCUAGUUGGUGAGGUAAUGGCUCACCAAGGCGACGAUCCGUAACUGGUCUGAGAGGAUGAUCAGUCACACUGGAACUGAGACACGGUCCAGACUCCUACGGGAGGCAGCAGUGGGGAAUAUUGGACAAUGGGCGAAAGCCUGAUCCAGCCAUGCCGCGUGUGUGAAGAAGGUCUUCGGAUUGUAAAGCACUUUAAGUUGGGAGGAAGGGCAUUAACCUAAUACGUUGGUGUCUUGACGUUACCGACAGAAUAAGCACCGGCUAACUCUGUGCCAGCAGCCGCGGUAAUACAGAGGGUGCAAGCGUUAAUCGGAAUUACUGGGCGUAAAGCGCGCGUAGGUGGUUCGUUAAGUUGGAUGUGAAAUCCCCGGGCUCAACCUGGGAACUGCAUUCAAAACUGACGAGCUAGAGUAUGGUAGAGGGUGGUGGAAUUUCCUGUGUAGCGGUGAAAUGCGUAGAUAUAGGAAGGAACACCAGUGGCGAAGGCGACCACCUGGACUGAUACUGACACUGAGGUGCGAAAGCGUGGGGAGCAAACAGGAUUAGAUACCCUGGUAGUCCACGCCGUAAACGAUGUCAACUAGCCGUUGGGAGCCUUGAGCUCUUAGUGGCGCAGCUAACGCAUUAAGUUGACCGCCUGGGGAGUACGGCCGCAAGGUUAAAACUCAAAUGAAUUGACGGGGGGCCCGCACAAGCGGGGGAGCAUGUGGUUUAUUCGAAGCAACGCGAAGAACCUUACCAGGCCUUGACAUCCAAUUGAACUUUCCAGAAUUGGAAUUGGUGCCUUCGGGAACAAUUGAGACAGGUGCUGCAUGGCUGUCGUCACUCGUGUCCUGAGAUGUCGGUUAAUCCCCGUAACAACGGCACCCUUGCCCUACUUACCACACGUAAGGGUGG